rnacentral:rRNA from 1 species
UACGUAGGAGGCGAGCGUUGUCCGGAUUUACUGGGCGUAAAGGGCGCGCAGGCGGCCCACCAAGUACGAUGUGAAAUCUCCCUGCUCAACGGGGAGGGUGCACUGUAAACUGGUGAGCUAGGGUACGGUAGAGGGAAGUGGAAUUUCCGGUGUAGCGGUGAAAUGCGUAGAUAUCGGAAGGAACAUCAGUGGCGAAAGCGACUUCCUGGACCAGUACCGACGUUCAGGCACGAAAGCGUGGGGAGCAAACAGG